AUGGGCGGCGCAGUGAAGGCGCCACCGACGCGUGUCCCGCCUGCAUGCACCACGCGUCCGCCCGCAUGCCACCCCCCGCCACCCCGCUUCGGCUAUAAAAGGCGCCCCUCCCCGCCGGUGAGCACCACAACCUCCCCCUCUCCCUCCCGUGAAACAACCUUCUCCCCGCCGGCGAGCUCCCUCACCACCCCUGCCCGCCGACGAGCGAAGCCAUGGCAGAGAGAUACCCUGGCGACGGCGCUGCGGCGAAUGGCUUCGGCCGCCGAUACCUCCAGGAGCCGGAGGUGCACCUUCUGUACGAGGCCGAGUACCCGGCGCCCCACGACAUACGCGUGCCAGGCUCGUGGCGACUGA
rnacentral:rRNA from 1 species